GGCUUUCUAGCUCAGCGGGGAGAGCGCCGGUCCGAAACGCCGGAGGCCGGGGUUCGAGUCCCUGGGAAGCCA
rnacentral:tRNA from 1 species